GCUUUUUAAGGGAUAACUCAGUUGGUAGAGCAUGAGAUUCUUAAUCUCAGGGUUGUGGGUUUGAGCCCUACAUUGGGUG